rnacentral:rRNA from 1 species
AGCUCCAAUAGCGUAUAUUAAAGUUGUUGCAGUUAAAACGCUCGUAGUCUGAGGUGGUGCUUGUGGGGGUGAGGGUGUGAGAAAUUGCAUUUUUGCCUUUGCAGCGCUUUUUUGUUGCAGCAAUGUGACAAGGUUACUUUGAGGAAAUUAGGGUGUUCAAAGCAGGCGUUUGCUUGGAUACUGCAGCAUGGAAUAACGGAAUAGGGCUUGCCGUCUUAUUUUGUUGGUUUGGAGGGGCGAGUAAUGAUUAAUAGGGGCGGUUGGGGGCAUUGGUAUUUGGUAGCUAGAGGUGAAAUUCUUGGAUUUACCAAAGACUAACUAGUGCGAAAGCAUUUGCCAAGGAUGUUUUCA